AACGAACGCUGGCGGCAUGCCUAACACAUGCAAGUCGAACGAGACCUUCGGGUCUAGUGGCGCACGGGUGCGUAACGCGUGGGAACCUGCCCUUAGGUUCGGAAUAACUCCCCGAAAGGGGUGCUAAUACCGGAUAAUGUCUUCGGACCAAUGAUUUAUCGCCUUUGGAUGGGCCCGCGUUGGAUUAGCUAGUUGGUAGGGUAAAAGCCUACCAAGGCGACGAUCCAUAGCUGGUCUGAGAGGAUGAUCAGCCACACUGGGACUGGGACACGGCCCAGACUCCUACGGGAGGCAGCAGUGGGGAAUAUUGGACAAUGGGCGAAAGCCUGAUCCAGCAAUGCCGCGUGAGUGAUGAAGGCCUUAGGGUUGUAAAGCUCUUUUACCCGGGAUGAUAAUGACAGUACCGGGAGAAUAAGCUCCGGCUAACUCCGUG
rnacentral:rRNA from 1 species